UACGGAGGGGGCAAGCGUUGUUCGGAAUUACUGGGCGUAAAGGGUUCGUAGGUGGCCAACUAAGUCAGACGUGAAAUCCCUCAGCUUAACCGGGGAACUGCGUCCGAUACUGGAUGGCUUGAGAUUGGGAGAGGGAUGCGGAAUUCCAGGUGUAGCGGUGAAAUGCGUAGAUAUCUGGAGGAACACCGGUGGCGAAGGCGGCAUCCUGGACCAACACUGACGCUGAUGAGCGAAAGCCAGGGGAGCAAACGGG
rnacentral:rRNA from 1 species